rnacentral:lncRNA from 1 species
GGAGUGCAAUGGGAAUAUAAUGCCAAGUCAGAAGUAGCUCCUGUGCUUGUGGAGGAAGUGAGCGGACAGCGUUCAUCAGUGUGGGAGACAGACAUUUACUGAAGGAUGACACAAAGGAACAUAAAAACUGUGGCAGGAAGUGUUCUGUAGAUGUGAAUCCCAUCGAUCCACCCCCUGCAAUGGGGAGUUGGGGAGGAGAGGACAAGACUAGAAAGGACUAGAUGGAGCAAAUGGAGUGGAUCCAGCUUCCCCUCUAAUCAACCAUGUUUCAGAAUCAGGAGUGACCAAGUUGGUCACUUGAGCUAUAAUGGAGACUAGAGAUGAGGUUAUGGGCAUUCUUCUGGAGGCACACAAGGUAAGAAGGCCCAGCUACACGCUGUCCUUGGGAGCAACGAGUCCAGCUGGCCUGCCUGGAGUGACUACUCUCUCCUCCGUGCGCUGGAGCGCUGGAAGGUAUCAAGGACUGCUAAAGAAAACACCUCUGCCUUUCCCAACGCAGGCCCCGUGGAACAGGGAUAGACAAGGCUUCCAGCUGUGCCCUGCCUGUCCUCCCCCCGGGAGAGAUCCGACAGGUGGAUAGCGAGUGCAUUGUCGGGUCUUCGGGAGCUGAACUGGGCACCCGGAGGUCUCUCACUUCCUUCCCACCACCCCCGCAGGCUGAGCUCUGCCUCGCGUGGGGAGACGUGGGCAAUGCAGUUAGUCUGAGGGCCUGUAGCUCGCCCUGGGCUGAGAACCUCGAGCAGCCUCGGACAGGAACCCGCGGAGACGCCCCACCUAGCCUCGGGUGCACGCGCAGCAGGAAGGGCCGCGGAGGGGCCCGGACGGGGCCGGCACCCGCGAAGCUCGCCGGUCACCCCCGCUCCCCGCCCUUCCUCUGCCAGCCUCUGUGGCCAGAGGCCUGAGCCGGUGGCUAAU